rnacentral:rRNA from 1 species
GUUGCUUCGGCGGGCCCGCCUUAACUGGCCGCCGGGGGGCUUACGCCCCCGGGCCCGCGCCCGCCGAAGACACCCUCGAACUCUGUCUGAAGAUUGUAGUCUGAGUGAAAAUAUAAAUUAUUUAAAACUUUCAACAACGGAUCUCUUGGUUCCGGCAUCGAUGAAGAACGCAGCGAAAUGCGAUACGUAAUGUGAAUUGCAAAUUCAGUGAAUCAUCGAGUCUUUGAACGCACAUUGCGCCCCCUGGUAUUCCGGGGGGCAUGCCUGUCCGAGCGUCAUUGCUGCCCUCAAGCACGGCUUGUGUGUUGGGCCCCGUCCUCCGAUCCCGGGGGACGGGCCCGAAAGGCAGCGGCGGCACCGCGUCCGGUCCUCGAGCGUAUGGGGCUUUGUCACCCGCUCUGUAGGCCCGGCCGGCGCUUGCCGAUCAACCCAAAUUUUUAUCCAGGUUGACCUCGGAUCAGGUAGGGAUACCCGCUGAACUUAAGCAUAUCAAUAA